CGUGGACCCAAGAAGUCCCUGUGCGCUUGCGCAGAGACCGAACUACCGCUUUCCCCGUAACCAGGGAGACUGCAGUUUGCAGUGAUGUGGCUAAGAUACCCUUGUGCUAUUAAAGGCACAUUUACGUAUCUUUCAACGCAGUUUGUACCUUUGUUUAGGGUUCUAUUGAACUUUCUCUGUGCUCUUUAGAAAACCGUCGAAUAAAGAACUCAAAUGAUGCUGUUUUUGGACAGGGAGGUCAUGGACCAAGUACAAAGCGGCAAAAGGAUGGAAUUAAGGGAUAUUUCCAGUGAAAGAAAGAAGAAAGCAUGCUUUUCUCUUGACUGUGCAGAAAAAAAAACUAUGUUUCUUUGAUUCUCCAUUUUACUAGAUGCCAUACCUUUGCAAUUACUUCAUGUGGAGUCUUGACCAAGAUUCAGGAAAUACUAGAACUUUCAGUCCCAGAAGGUUACUCUGGGCAUUACUAGUCCCCAUCAUUAUGAGUUGAGUUUUACUAGUUAAUUUCAGACGAAAAAUAUUUGUUUUUCCCCAAAUUCUGGGGUUACGUACUUUUACUACCUAUGAACUGACAACUGUAUCUUCAGUAAUUACAAUUUCCAACAAAAUGUUAUAGGAAUAAAGAAAAGAUGUUAGUUCAUUAUUCAGAGUUUAUGUUUAUUCCUUUAAUAAAAAGAAAUGGUCUGUAUUUCUUCUUUUCACAUUUAUUUCCUCAGUUCAAACCUGCUUUUCAGGUUAUCCUAUGACUUGAAGUUGACUAAUUUGUUCACCUUAAUUAGUUGUGUUGCAAUAUAUAUGUAAUUAGCUAUUUGCAUUGCAACCUGCACAAAAUUAUUCCUGUUCAUAAACUACUGAGAGGAAAGGGGCUUAAAGUUCAAAGGAGUUUAAUUAUGGUCUUGUAACCAUAUAGAAAAUAUUUGAAUGUUACAUUGGCAUUGGCUCUAUUGCAUUAAAAGAAGUUAUGAAUGACGAAUUGGCAAAGAUU
rnacentral:lncRNA from 1 species